GAUUUGGGCUAUAUUACGGACCCA
rnacentral:siRNA from 1 species